rnacentral:rRNA from 1 species
UACGUAGGGUGCGAGCGUUAAUCGGAAUUACUGGGCGUAAAGCGUGCGCAGGCGGUUAUAUAAGACAGAUGUGAAAUCCCCGGGCUCAACCUGGGACCUGCAUUUGUGACUGUAUAGCUAGAGUACGGCAGAGGGGGAUGGAAUUCCGCGUGUAGCAGUGAAAUGCGUAGAUAUGUGGAGGAAUACCGAUGGCGAAGGCAGCCCCCUGGGAUGACACUGACGCUCAUGCACGAAAGCGUGGGGAGCAAACAGGAUUAGAAA